rnacentral:lncRNA from 1 species
GGUACCGUUCCUCCAGUCUUAUUCAUAUGCAUAUGAAACAAUAUAUAUUCAAAUUUAUUCUUUCAGUGUACUCUGUCACUUUUCACAGUUCAAAUUGCUCCCAAUUACUGUUCUCAGGUAAGCUCACUAUAUGCAUGACUACAUUCAAACUGGUGAGUUUAACUCUUCUUUUGCUAUAGGCCAAUCCUAGGUACCACGAACUAUUGAAAUUGAGGGGUGGUCGGGCACUGGAGCAGGCUCCCCAGGGCAGCGGUCACAGCACCGAACCUGCAGGAGUUCAAGAAGCUCUCAGGAGGAUAGCUCUCUCAGAUUUAAGGUGUAAUAUGUAGGUAAUCCUGUGUGGAGUCAGUUUGACUCAAUGACCCUUGUGAGUCUCUUCCAACUUGGGAUAUUCUGUGCUUCUGUGAAAUUAAUAGCAUUUCUCUGUAUAGGCAACAUUCAGAAUGCACUAGAUGGCAGUAUAACAAUUGAUUUAAUGUAAUUUUAAUUUAUUUCAUUCGCUGUUCCUGUUUUCUUCUCAGAAAUUCUCUCUGUCUAACAGUUGGUUGAAUUGGUUAGGACUACCUUAUAACACUGCUGUUGCAGUGGGGAAUAAUUAUGAUGGAAAAGAAGUAUGCUGACUUUGAUGGACUUGCAGCUGAUGAAGCAACUCAAGUCUACAAGUAUGAGAGUAAGAGCUGGAUCACCUCUUUCAUUGACAUCUCAGGGAUACAUCGCAAGUGAAACACUUUGCAGCACUGGGCCUCAGACCUGCUCAUCAAGAUUUGGGCCUGAGUAAUCUGCAGUACUAAUACAAACCAAAGCAAUGACCUACACUUAAUUUCUUUUGUAAUGCUUGCUUGAACUAGGACUUCCUUUUUCCCAUGGCACUGAAAUGGACAUGUAAUUUACCAAGAACACUGUACUGUUCAGCACUGACCACAAGUGCCUAACUUCUCCAUUGUGUAGAACUCAGAAGCUUCUUACUGUUUGCUCUUUUCCAAAACUAGGGCUGGGGUACUUAAAGAGUGUUUCCUAGAACAUGUGUUAUAUCAAGUCUUCUGGGGAAUUACACCAUGGCUGGUUUUAAAAAUUCAAAAGCCAGUUUGUAGUUACUAAUUUUCAUCGUAGUUAUAAGAUCCAUGAACUUUACAGAAUAAAUAUUAUUCUUCACCUGUUUUCA